ACGCGAAGAACCUUACCAGGGUUUGACAUGUCCGGAAUCUCUUGGAAACGAGAGAGUGCCUUCGGGAGCCGGAACACAGGUGCUGCAUGGCUGUCGUCAGCUCGUGUCGCGAGAUGUUGGGUUAAGUCCCGCAACGAGCGCAACCCUCGUCGUUAGUUGCCAGCAAGAAAGAUGGGAACUCUAGCGAGACUGCCGGUGACAAACCGGAGGAAGGUGGGGAUGACGUCAAGUCAGCAUGGCCCUUACAUCCUGGGCGACACACGUACUACAAUGCUAGGGACAAAGAGCAGCGACUUCGCGAGGAGAAGCGAAUCUCAGAAACCCUGGCUCAGUUCAGAUUGCUCUCUGCAACUCGAGAGCAUGAAGGAGGAAUCGCUAGUAAUCGCAGGUCAGCAUACUGCGGUGAAUCCGUUCCCGGGUCUUGUACACACCG
rnacentral:rRNA from 1 species